rnacentral:lncRNA from 10 species
CCAUACUCCAUUGGCUGCCCACCAUGUGCCAGAUACCAUCUGAACCUUGAGAACACAGCAGUGAACAAGACUGGCAAGGGCCCUGCUCCCACGGAGCUCACACUUGUGUAGGGUGACAGAAGACAGUAGACAAUAAGCAAACCAGACCUAAGAUCAUGUCAGACAAUGAUAAGAAAAUAAGAGGGGAAAGUGGGAUAGUGAACCCUUGGGGUGGGUGGGCUACCUCAGAGGGGGCAUCAGGCAUCAGCACCUCUGAGGGGAGACAUUUGAACUGAGGCCUGAACAGUGAGAGGGGCUCAGCCACAAAGAAGCUGAAGGAGGAAUGUUUCAGACAGAGGCAACAGUGGGUAAGGCCUCCAAGGUAGAAACAAACUUGGGGUGUUGGAAGAACAGUGAGAAGGCUGGUGGGCUGGAGUAGAGUAGGGUCCAAGUUCAUUUUAAGAGCACACAUGGAACUUAGGCCAAUUCCAGGACAUGACUGGACACUUAUGUUAAUGGUUCCUAAAAGAUAGUGUAACAGUUGGGAAGUUACCAGAUGUUCUAUACUGGGAGCCUUGUCUUCCCAGAACUCAUGAGAGUCUCCCAGUGACAGCAUUGCCUGCUUGCCUGAAAGGAUCUCACCUUCAACUUUAAGGACAGGGACAUCCAGUUUAAUGUCACUCUGGUCUGAUUCAUUGUGAUUCCAUUAUUUAAAAAACAUGAAUCUUUAUUUCCAUGACAUCCGUAGAAGUUUUUCCCUACAUUCCAAGAGCUGUCUUCCACUCUCAAUCAAUAAGAGCUAACAGAACUACGUGUUCUCUGCAUUCCUGGGCAGUGCAUGAUACUACAAACACUCUCAACCAAUGAGCUCUCUCCUCAGUUGAGGAUGUUCUGCAACGUGGGACUUUAUUUUUGCUAUUGAUUUUGUGUACUCGAAAUUAUUAGCCUAAGUCCCAUGGUGAUCUUUGCGGAAAGAUAUUAGAGGAAAACUCCCUCCUAGUCAUAUCUGGAGGCCAAUGUCCUUAAACAGAAAACUGGGGUCAUACCCUGUAAAACCUAUCAGACCAAGUAAUCCAGAGCUGGGAUGGGGGCAGGAUCUCUUUAGAGUAAGACUUGCCUUCCAAGCCACAUAACUGUCAUCUGGAGCUUGUCACUGCUGACAAUUUUCCUCCUUGCUGCCAGCUUGCUCUGUAUCACGCAGGGCUAUCAUCAGUAACUUAGCCCUAAGAGGGGUACACAGGACCUGGCUUCCAGAUCUGAAUUCUAGAGCAGAGGGAGGGAAGGCAGAACACCUACCAGCACACUAAUGUUUCAAGUUUGGCCUAGAGCAAAGAGCCUGAGUUGCUGUUGGCCAAACGUUGGCCUGUGUUUGUCAGACUGGGCUGAAGACUUCCUCCCUGGUCUAUCCUUCACCUCUUAUGCCACAGUUUUGGGAAACACUGUGCUCAGCAAGCUGAACUGCUUCUUGGGUGUGCGACUAGGGUGCCAGCCAGGCCAGGGACGUCCAGGACUGGAAGAAAUGCAGGGGCAGGACCACAGCACAGGCUGAUCAGGAGGCUGCCCCACCAGGAGCUCUGCUGAAGGCUGCAUCCUCUCUGCUGAGAGUCAACCACUGUGCUGACUCACCAUCCUUGUGGUUGAGAACCCAUCAGCAAAUUGGUGGCUCUGAUGAGCCCUGGAGCUGCAAAAUAUAGGCCGGGGUACCUCAGCCGGAAGGGACUUCAGUUAGUGACAGGUUUUCUGUUCUGAUAUGGAGCUACAAGGGGCCCAAGAGGACCUGGGCAUUUCCCUCUCUAGUCCCCGGAGGAACCAUGAAACCAGGCCAGGAAGCAAGGCUAAGGGCAGGAGCAGCAUCUGUCUCCAGGCGUCUGUUUGGAUGGCUGUAAGUCCCACCUUGCUCUGUUUUUUUCUGCUAUGGCUGAACCUGGAUCUAGCAGGGUUCUCAGUUUCUGCUAUGGCUGAACCUGGAUCUCAGUCCCCUGGUGAGCUUAGCUCCUGCCUCCCAGAGAACUGGAAUGACCUUAUUCAGACACCUCCAGCCUGUAUAAGUCAGGGGCAAGGACUGGGGAGUCAAGAGGGUUAAGGGAGUGAGAGGUGAGAGUUACAAUCUACAUUGUAUUUUAUGUCAACAGCAUCCCCUGGAGUACUGCAAAGCUCUAAGUCAGAUAUCCCAGUGGGGGGCAUCACCCAUCCUAGACUUUCUCCCCUGCCCCAUGCCCCUUAUACCAACAUCAAUUCAGCACAUAGCACUGUACUUGGCCAUUAAGAUAGUAAAUAAAUGCCUGGUGAAUAGUUUGAUAGACAGAAAGAUGCCCACUCCCCCAACCCAAAGAUGUUUACAUUCUCAUUCCUAGAAACUGUAAAUAUGUUAUCUUAAUAGCAAACAGGAUUUUGCAAGUGUGGUUAACAUUAAGGAUCUUGAGAUAAAGAGAUUAUCCUGGAUUAUCCGAAUGGGCCUAAUCUAAUCCUAAAAAGCAGACAGGCUUCCCUGGGUGCAGUCAGAGACAGAAAUGCAGCUAGGGGAAUUGGAGUCAAAGAGAGGGCCAUGAGAGAAGGAUUCCAUGCCCUGUGGCUGGUUCUGAGAGGUAGGGACUCUAUGUAAGGACAGAGCAAAUGUCUUCUAGGAGUUCAGGGUGGCCCCAGUUAGCAACCAGCAAGGACCUCAGUCUUACAGUCCCACGGAACUGUCAAGACCAGAAUGAGCAAAGAUAGUGAUGCACCCCCAGAGCUGCCACCAAGGAACGCUGUCCUGCCGAGACGUUGAUUUU